AGAGUUUGAUCCUGGCUCAGAUUGAACGCUGGCGGCAGGCCUAACACAUGCAAGUCGAACGGUAACAGGAAGAAGCUUGCUUCUUUGCUGACGAGUGGCGGACGGGUGAGUAAUGUCUGGGAAACUGCCUGAUGGAGGGGGAUAACUACUGGGAACGGUAGCUAAUACCGCAUAACGUCGCAAGACCAAAGAGGGGGACCUUCGGGCCUCUUGCCAUCGGAUGUGCCCAGAUGGGAUUAGCUAGUAGGUGGGGUAACGGCUCACCUAGGCGACGAUCCCUAGCUGGUCUGAGAGGAUGACCAGCCACACUGGAACUGAGACACGGUCCAGACUCCUACGGGAGGCAGCAGUGGGGAAUAUUGCACAAUGGGCGCAAGCCUGAUGCAGCCAUGCCGCGUGUAUGAAGAAGGCCUUCGGGUUGUAAAGUACUUUCAGCGGGGAGGAAGGGAGUAAAGUUAAUACCUUUGCUCAUUGACGUUACCCGCAGAAGAAGCACCGGCUAACUCCGUGCCAGCAGCCGCGGUAAUACGGAGGGUGCAAGCGUUAAUCGGAAUUACUGGGCGUAAAGCGCACGCAGGCGGUUUGUUAAGUCAGAUGUGAAAUCCCCGGGCUCAACCUGGGAACUGCAUCUGAUACUGGCAAGCUUGAGUCUCGUAGAGGGGGUUAGAAUUCCAGGUGUAGCGGUGAAAUGCGUAGAGAUCUGGAGGAAUACCGGUGGCGAAGGCGGCCCCCUGGACGAAGACUGACGCUCAGGUGCGAAAGCGUGGGGAGCAAACAGGAUUAGAUACCCCGGUAGUCCACGCCGUAAACGAUGUCGACUUGGAGGUAGUGCCCUUGAGGCGUGGCUUCCGGAGCUAACGCGUUAAGUCGACCGCCUGGGGAGUACGGCCGCAGGGUUAAAACUCAAAGGAAUUGACGG
rnacentral:rRNA from 1 species